UACGGAGGGUGCUAGCGUUGUUCGGAAUCACUGGGCGUAAAGCGCGUGUAGGCGGCUCACUAAGUCUGAUGUGAAAGCCCGGGGCUCACCCCCGGAAGUGCAUUGGAAACUGGUGGACUCGAGUCCCGGAGAGGAGAGUGGAAUUCCUGGUGUAGCGGUGAAAUGCGUAGAUAUCAGGAGGAACACCGGUGGCGAAGGCGGCUCUCUGGACGGUGACUGACGCUGAGACGCGAAAGCGUGGGGAGCAAACAGG
rnacentral:rRNA from 1 species